GUGGGGAAUAUUGGACAAUGGGCGAAAGCCUGAUCCAGCCAUGCCGCGUGUGUGAAGAAGGUCUUCGGAUUGUAAAGCACUUUAAGUUGGGAGGAAGGGCAGUAAGUUAAUACCUUGCUAUUUUGACGUUACCGACAGAAUAAGCACCGGCUAACUUCGUGCCAGCAGCCGCGGUAAUACGAAGGGUGCAAGCGUUAAUCGGAAUUACUGGGCGUAAAGCGCGCGUAGGUGGUUUUGUAAGUUGGAGGUGAAAUCCCCGGGCUCAACCUGGGAACUGCCUCAAAAACUGCAUGACUAGAGUACGGUAGAGGGUAGUGGAAUUUCCUGUGUAGCGGUGAAAUGCGUAGAUAUAGGAAGGAACACCAGUGGCGAAGGCGACUACCUGGACUGAUACUGACACUGAGGUGCGAAAGCGUGGGGAGCAAACAGGAUUAGAUACCCGAGUAGUCC
rnacentral:rRNA from 1 species